GGCAGUGGGGGAGCUGGGCGCCAGCAGUGUCGAACUCGAACCCUACCAAAUCACAGAUAUUAAUUUUGAGAGCUGUGAAGUAGAAAACUCUAAUCUUUGGAGGAGACUUUCUGAAUCUGCAUCAAAAGUUGAGUGUGCUAUGUUACUUGCAGAAAGUUAAAUGGAAACAACACAGGAAGCUGACGUUGAGAAGAAAAAUGAAAUGACAGUCCACAUGAAACUUGUGAAAAGGAGUUCAACUCAUAUAUUUUUUUCUAGUGGCAAAGUUUUUAAUGAAGAGACUUGAACUCUGUUUUUAUGUUAUAUUGUUCAUUUGUACGUGUGAAUUGAGAUGAUCUUAUGUGGUGUGAUGAUAGAUAGAUUAACUUUGUUGGAUAUUAGAUAUUUAAGUUAAACUUUGGUGGAUUAAUUUUGUUGGAUGUUAGAUGAUCAUUUCUG